GGCCAGACUCCUACGGGAGGCAGCAGUGAGGAAUAUUGGUCAAUGGGCGAGAGCCUGAACCAGCCAAGUCGCGUGAGGGAGUACUGCCCUAUGGGUUGUAAACCUCUUUUGUCGGGGAGCAAAAGCCGGACGUGUCCGGCUGUGAGAGUACCCGAAGAAAAAGCAUCGGCUAACUCCGUGCCAGCAGCCGCGGUAAUACGGAGGAUGCGAGCGUUAUCCGGAUUUAUUGGGUUUAAAGGGUGCGUAGGCGGAGUGUCAAGUCAGCGGUAAAAUUUCGGGGCUCAACCCCGUCGUGCCGUUGAAACUGGCUGUCUUGAGAUGUCGAGAGGUAUGCGGAAUGCGCAGUGUAGCGGUGAAAUGCUUAGAUAUUGCGCGGAACUCCGAUUGCGAAGGCAGCAUACCGGCGGCGAUCUGACGCUGAGGCACGAAAGCGUGGGUAUCGAACAGGAUUAGAUACCCCUGUA
rnacentral:rRNA from 1 species